AGCAAUCGGCGAGAGCUCCUCCCGGCUCCCAUCCCUCCGUCCCAGACUCCCACCCCGUGGCUCCUUAUCCGUUCGAAAAAAAGAGCCUCGCACCUUCUCCGAGCAUGGAGGCGACGCCAGCCUACCGCCCUCGCAACCCACCCCAUCCCCAGCCUCCACCUCGCCCGCGUCGCCUCCGGUGCCGACGAGGACUGCCCUGCUCCUCCCCUUCCCCUCCCCCCUCUCCUCCCACACCUCACCAGAUCCCCAGCUCCCCCACCUCCCCCGCCGCCCCUACCGGCUCCGGCAGCCGUCGCUAACCACUGUGGCACCAACGCCCCCACCCCACCGACCUGGCCCAACCGGCCUCCUCCACCACCGUGGCGGGAGGCGCCGCUGCCGCCCGCCGUUCCGCCCACACCCCACCACCACCGCCGGUCCGGCACCCACCCCUCGGCCAUCCCUCUAAGCCCGGCAGCCACCAAUCCCCUCCCCAACCCGAAACCCCGAACCCUAACCCGAUCCUGAGCUCGCCGGAGAGGAGGUGCUCGUCGGAGAAGAAGAGGUGCCCUGCAGGUUCUCGACGCCCGCCACUCGGACACGUUUUUAGAGAAGGCGUAUGGGGAUGGGACGUUGCAGUACGAAGUACUUGGUGAGCACUUGCUUCAGGAGAAGGCAUCUGCCAUGUUUUCCACUGUUUUCAACCUUAAGCAGCUCGCUUCUCCGUCUACCGCUUCCGUCCUCAGCAUCGGGGCAUGGACUAGCAUGAAGAGUGAGACCGGUGCUCUCGACGUCAAAACAGUCGUCACGGCACAUGCUGCAGCCACCAAUGGCCGUAACCUCGCUCACAAUGAGGGUACGCGCAUGAGUAUGGUUACAGUUGUAGCUACACACUCUGCAACUAUAUGGCAAGCACCUCAUUCCACUUUUCAGGCUAUGCGGGACACGGCUAGCGACGGAAAGAUCGUGUCCGUUCGGAUACUUCAAUUGCUCCUCUGAUUUUAUUUUGUUCAGUCAGUACACAAAUGUUAUCCAGAGUUCGGUUGCAUGGUCGUACACAAUGUGUCGCACAGUUGGUACACAAUGUCGUUACAUGUUUACUCUGAUCCGCGAUUCAGAAACUGCUUGAUUACGCUAUACGGCAAACACCUCUGUCUUAUCAGAUUUUGUUCUGCAUGGACUGAUGGACAUGUAAGGUGCUUGAUCAGUGACGGAUGUAUACACUCUAUAGGGAUACUAGCCGGCCCGAAGGACAGUCCUUAUUCUUCCCUGCUUCCCUCGGCUCUCUCUUCUCUCAUCAUGGUCUCUCUCCUCCCGGCGGCAGCGGCAGCGAGAUCGAGCACAAUCGCCAGCAACAACGAACUCCAAAGAUGCCCGAGGUCGAGGGAUCCACGGGGACGAGCCCCUCCGUGUGAAUAAGUAGAGGGCGGACCGGAUCCAUGGAGGGUGAGGUCCUCCUCGUGGAUCUAUGGGAGGAGAGGCCGAACCUACGGGAAGAUGGUCGGGUUUGGUAGAGGAGGGCCCGGAUUAGUGGGGGAGGGGAGGCGACCAAAUUCAAGUGCCUUGUCGUCAGUGGCGAGGAUCCAUGGAGGGUGGCUGUGCGUGGAUGCAUGGAUGGGGGAGGUCCCGUUGUUGCCAUCUGGUUCUGGAUUCGAUGAGGCGGUGGCGAGAUCUGGCAAGGUAUAGGUGAAAUCAACUCUCUCUUUGUGAUUCAUUUCCUCGUGCUGCAUCCAUGGAGGGCGGAGCUCAAUUCCAUAGUGGAAGAAUGGUUUCUCCUCGUGCUCGGUGGUUGGGUAGAAUGGCACGGCGUCGAAAUCCACGGAGGAAGAAGACUAUUCUUGUUCUUGCAUUUUUUUUUUCCAAUUUUGUACCUUGCAACCCGAGAAAAUCUUGCUGCUCGUGAACAUUUUUUUUCUUUCAAUUUUGUACCUUGCAACCCGAGAAAAUCUUGUUGCUCGUGAACAUAACUGAGAAUUCUCGGUGAUUUGUUGCUGUGAUUACUGACUUGCAAUUUUUGAGAUGUAUUCAAGAAAAUUGCUCGAUAGUUCUUUAUCUA